rnacentral:lncRNA from 1 species
CCGGAUUUUCCAGCCCGGUUCACCCUAAAACGGACCUGAUUGAGCCGCGAAGAGAGGGGAAUUGCCGGCCAGAACCGAACCGGGACAGGACGCGGUUGUUGGAGGGAAGAGGAGAGGAAGCGUUUGGAGAGGGAGCUAAGCGGGGGUGUGGAUCGAAGGGUUAGGAGAGAUUGGGAGGAGGAACGAAGGGCCAUAAUCGAUCGGGAAAUUUUAGCUGCCAUUGAAGUGGG